AUUGUACUCCCUCCGUCCGGAAAUACUUGUCGGAGAAAUGCAUAAAAGUGGAUGUAUCUAGAACUAAAUUAUGUGUAGAUACAUCCAUUCCUCCGACAAGUAUUUCCGGACGGAGGGAGUACGAA
rfam:Triticum aestivum genome assembly, contig: Triticum_aestivum_CS42_TGACv1_scaffold_570191_7AS